rnacentral:rRNA from 1 species
UACGGAGGGAGCUAGCGUUGUUCGGAAUUACUGGGCGUAAAGCGCACGUAGGCGGCUUUGUAAGUUAGAGGUGAAAGCCCGGAGCUCAACUCCGGAAUUGCCUUUAAGACUGCAUCGCUUGAAUCCAGGAGAGGUGAGUGGAAUUCCGAGUGUAGAGGUGAAAUUCGUAGAUAUUCGGAAGAACACCAGUGGCGAAGGCGGCUCACUGGACUGGUAUUGACGCUGAGGAGCGAAAGCAUGGGGAGCGAACAGG